rnacentral:pre_miRNA from 1 species
CAACUACUCCCUCUGUCCCAAAUUUCUUGUCUUAGAUUUGUCUAGAUACGGAUAUAUCUAAUACUAAAAUGUGACUUGAUACAUCCGUAUCUAGACAAAUCUAAGACAAGAAUUUUGGGACGGAGGGAGUACUUU